GGAUGAACGCUGGCGGCGUGCCUAAUACAUGCAAGUCGAACGAAGUACUUGUACUGAGUGGCGAACGGGUGAGUAACACGUGGGUAACCUGCCCAGAAGUAGGGGAUAACACCUGGAAACAGAUGCUAAUACCGUAUAACAGAGAAACCGCAUGGUUUUCUUUAAAAGAUGUCUGUAUCACUUCUGGAUGGACCCGCGGCGUAUUAGCUAGUUGGUGAGGUAAAGGCUCACCAAGGCAGUGAUACGUAGCCGACCUGAGAGGGUAAUCGGCCACAUUGGGACUGAGACACGGCCCAGACUCCUACGGGAGGCAGCAGUAGGGAAUCUUCCACAAUGGACGCAAGUCUGAUGGAGCAACGCCGCGUGAGUGAAGAAGGGUUUCGGCUCGUAAAGCUCUGUUGUUAAAGAAGAACGUGGGUAAGGUAAUUUACCCAGUGACGGUAUUUAACCAGAAAGCCACGGCUAACUACGUGCCAGCAGCCGCGGUAAUACGUAGGUGGCAAGCGUUAUCCGGAUUUAUUGGGCGUAAAGCGAGCGCAGGCGGUCUUUUAAGUCUAAUGUGAAAGCCUUCGGCUCAACCGAAGAAGUGCAUUGGAAACUGGGAGACUUGAGUGCAGAAGAGGACAGUGGAACUCCAUGUGUAGCGGUGAAAUGCGUAGAUAUAUGGAAGAACACCAGUGGCGAAGGCGGCUGUCUGGUCUGCAACUGACGCUGAGGCUCGAAAGCAUGGGUAGCGAACAGGAUUAGAUACCCUGGUAGUCCAUGCCGUAAACGAUGAUUACUAAGUGUUGGAGGGUUUCCCCCUUCAGUGCUGCAGCUAACGCAUUAAGUAAUCCGCCUGGGGAGUACGACCGCAAGGUUGAAACUCAAAAGAAUUGACGGGGGCCCGCACAAGCGGUGGAGCAUGUGGUUUAAUUCGAAGCUACGCGAAGAACCUUACCAGGUCUUGACAUCUUCUGACAGUCUAAGAGAUUAGAGGUUCCCUUCGGGGACAGAAUGACAGGUGGUGCAUGGUUGUCGUCAGCUCGUGUCGUGAGAUGUUGGGUUAAGUCCCGCAACGAGCGCAACCCUUAUUACUAGUUGCCAGCAUUAAGUUGGGCACUCUAGUGAGACUGCCGGUGACAAACCGGAGGAAGGUGGGGACGACGUCAAAUCAUCAUGCCCCUUAUGACCUGGGCUACACACGUGCUACAAUGGAUGGUACAACGAGUCGCGAGACCGCGAGGUUAAGCUAAUCUCUUAAAACCAUUCUCAGUUCGGACUGUAGGCUGCAACUCGCCUACACGAAGUCGGAAUCGCUAGUAAUCGCGGAUCAGCAUGCCGCGGUGAAUACGUUCCCGGGCCUUGCACUCACUGC
rnacentral:rRNA from 2 species